rnacentral:rRNA from 1 species
AGUCAAAUAUGGAUAUGUUCGAGUAAGUACAAAGGAUCAAAAUGAAAAUAGGCAAUUGGAAGCAAUGAAACAAUUAGAAAUAUUAAAAAAAAAUAUUUAUGUAGAAAAAAUAUCGGGGAAAGAUUUUGAUCGACCAAUAUAUCAGAAACUUGUGAAAAAAUUAAGACCAGAUGAUUUGCUUUAUAUAAAAAGCAUUGAUAGAUUGGGACGAAACUAUGAGGAAAUUUUAGAGCAAUGGCGCAUUCUUAGCGGAACAGGCCAAACCAAUGAAGUUUACUUCGUUGGGGUUGCGGACAUACAACAUGGAUGCAAUAUCGUAAAUGAAGAGAGUUGGAAAGCUCCGCCAUAGAAGGUAAUAGCCCUGUAGUUGAAACGAGAAAGCUACUAGUAUGAUCCAGAGUACCACGGGACACGUGAAACCCUGUGGGAAGCAGGAGGGACCAUCCUCCAAGCCUAAAUACUACCUAGUGACCGAUAGCGUAUAGUACCGUGAGGGAAAGGUGAAAAGAACCCCGGGAGGGGAGUGAAAGAGAACCUGAAACCCUGCACUUACAAGCUGUAGGAGCACAUUAUUUGUGUGACUGCGUACUUUUUGUAGAACGGGCCAACGAGUUACGUUGUGUAGCAAGGUUAAGCACUUAAGGUGUGGAGCCGUAGCGAAAGCGAGUCUUAAAUGGGCGUCCAGUUACCCGACGUAGACCCGAAACCAGGCGACCUAUCCAUGAGCAGGUUGAAGCGAAAGUAAAAUUUCGUGGAGGACCGAACCCACGUACGUUGAAAAGUGCGGGGAUGACUUGUGGAUAGCGGUGAAAUUCCAAUCGAGCCUGGAGAUAGCUGGUUCUCCCCGAAAUAGCUUUAGGGCUAGCCUCAAGCUUAGAGAAACGGAGGUAGAGCACUGAAUGUCCUAGGGGGUAUUGCACUUACCGAAGACUAUCAAACUCCGAAUGCCGUAUUCUUUUGCUUGGGAGUCAGACUAUGGGUGAUAAGAUUCAUAGUCAAGAGGGCAACAGCCCAGAUCGUCAGCUAAGGUCCCUAAAUGUAAGUUAAGUGGUAAAGGAUGUGGAAUUGCACAGACAACCAGGAUGUUGGCUUAGAAGCAGCCACUCAUUUAAAGAGUGCGUAAUAGCUCACUGGUCGAGUGAUUCUGCGCCGAAAAUUUCCGGGGCUAAAACUUACUACCGAAGCUACGGCAUCAUUAUGAUGGGUAGGGGAGCUUUCUAUGCGGCUUGAAGCAUGACCGUAAGGACAUGUGGACUGCAUAGAAGUGAGAAUGUUGGCAUGAGUAGCGAGAUGUGGGUGAGAAUCCCACAGGCCGUAAACCCAAGGUUUCCAGGGGAAGGUUCGUCCGCCCUGGGUUAGUCAGGACCUAAGCCGAGGCCGAAAGGCGUAGGUGAUGGACAACAGGUUGAUAUUCCUGUACCACCAAUAACCGUUUGAGAAAUGGGAUGACACAGUAGGAUAAGCUAACCGCACUGUUGGUUAUGUGCGGGCAAGUAUUGAGGCAGUUCCGAUAGGCAAAUCCGUCGGAAUAAUGCUGGGGUACGAUGCGGAGCGAAAUUUAGUAGCGAAGUAGCUGAUUUCACACUGUCGAGAAAAGUCUCUAUCGAGGUUAAAGGUGCCUGUACCGCAAACCGACACAGGUGGGUGAGGAGAGUAUCCUAAGGCCAGCGAGAGAACUGUUGUUAAGGAACUCGGCAAAAUGACCCCGUAACUUAGGGAGAAGGGGUGCCUUCGAAAGAAGGCCGCAGAGAAUAGGCCCAAGCGACUGUUUACCAAAAACAUAGGUUUCUGCUAAGUCGCAAGACGAUGUAUAGGAGCUGACGCCUGCCCGGUGCUGGAAGGUUAAGGGGAUCUGUUAGAGCAAUCGAAGCAGUGAACUUAAGCCCCAGUAAACGGCGGCCGUAACUAUAACGGUCCUAAGGUAGCGAAAUUCCUUGUCGGGUAAGUUCCGACCC